GAUAUCAAUAAGCGGAGGAAAAGAAACUAACAAGGAUUCCCCUAGUAACUGCGAGUGAAGCGGGAAAAGCUCAAAUUUAAAAUCUGUCAGUCUUUGACUGUCCGAGUUGUAAUCUAGAGAAGUGUUAUCUGCACUGGACCGUGUACAAGUCUCCUGGAAUGGAGCGUCAUAGAGGGUGAGAAUCCCGUCUCUGACACGGACUACCAGGGCUUUGUGAUAUACUCUCAAAGAGUCGAGUUGUUUGGGAAUGCAGCUCAAAAUGGGUGGUAAAUUCCAUCUAAAGCUAAAUAUUGGCGAGAGACCGAUAGUGAACAAGUACCGUGAGGGAAAGAUGAAAAGAACUUUGGAAAGAGAGUUAAAUAGUACGUGAAAUUGCUGAAAGGGAAACGCUUGAAGUCAGUCGCGUUGUCCAGGGCUCAACCUUGCUUUUGCUUGGUGUAUUUCCUGGUUAACGGGUCAGUAUCAAUUUUGAUCAUUGGAAAAAAGUUGGGGAAAUGUGGCAUCUUUGGAUGUGUUAUAGUCCUUAAUUGUAUACAAUGGUUGGGAUUGAGGAACUCAGCACGCCGCAAGGCCGGGUUUUUAACCACGUACGUGCUUAGGAUACUGGCAUAAUGGCUUUAAUCGACCCGUCUUGAAACACGGACCAAGGAGWCUAACAUGCCUGCGAGUGUUUGGGUGAAAAACCCAAGCGCGUAAUGAAAGUGAAAGUUGAGAUCCCUGUCAUAGGGAGCAUUGACGCCCGGACCAGACCUUUUGUGACGGUUCUGCGGUAGAGCAUGUAUGUUGGGACCCGAAAGAUGGUGAACUAUGCCUGAAUAGGGUGAAGCCAGAGGAAACUCUGGUGGAGGCUCGUAGCGAUUCUGACGUGCAAAUCGAUCGUCAAAUUUGGGUAUAGGGGCGAAAGACUAAUCGAACCAUCUAGUAGCUGGUUCCUGC
rnacentral:rRNA from 1 species